CCUACGGGAGGCAGCAGUAGGGAAUAUUGGGCAAUGGGCGGAAGCCUGACCCAGCCAUGCCGCGUGAAGGAAGACGGCCUUAUGGGUUGUAAACUUCUUUACUAUGCGACUAACUAGAUUUACGAGGUAAUUCUAUAGAAUGUAGCAUAGCAAAAAGCACCGGCUAACUCCGUGCCAGCAGCCGCGGUAAUACGGAGGGUGCGAGCGUUAUUCGGAAUUACUGGGUUUAAAGGGUGCGUAGGCGGCUAAGUAAGUUGUCAUUGAAAGGCUACAGCUCAACUGUAGUAGUGGUGGCGAUACUGCUUAGCUAAGAACAUGGGAGGGGUACUUGGAAUGUGUGGUGUAGCGGUGAAAUGCGUAGAUAUCACACAGAACACCAGAGGCGAAGGCGGAGUAUUAGACCAUAGUUGACGCUGAGGCACGAAAGCGUGGGGAUCAAACAGGAUUAGAUACCCUGGUAGUCCACGCCCUAAACGAUGAUCACUAGAUAUUGGCGACAAACAGUCAGUGUCCAAGCGAAAGUGAUAAGUGAUCCACCUGGGGACUACGGCCGCAAGGUUAAAACUCAAAUGAAUUGACGG
rnacentral:rRNA from 1 species